AUUGAACGCUGGCGGCAUGCCUUACACAUGCAAGUCGAACGGUAACAGGUCUUCGGAUGCUGACGAGUGGCGAACGGGUGAGUAAUACAUCGGAACGUGCCCAGACGUGGGGGAUAACGAGGCGAAAGCUUUGCUAAUACCGCAUACGAUCUAAGGAUGAAAGCAGGGGACCGCAAGGCCUUGUGCGUUUGGAGCGGCCGAUGGCAGAUUAGGUAGUUGGUGGGAUAAAAGCUUACCAAGCCGACGAUCUGUAGCUGGUCUGAGAGGACGACCAGCCACACUGGGACUGAGACACGGCCCAGACUCCUACAGGAGGCAGCAGUGGGGAAUUUUGGACAAUGGGCGAAAGCCUGAUCCAGCAAUGCCGCGUGCAGGAUGAAGGCCUUCGGGUUGUAAACUGCUUUUGUACGGAACGAAAAGGCUCUGGCUAAUACCUGGGGCACAUGACGGUACCGUAAGAAUAAGCACCGGCUAACUACGUG
rnacentral:rRNA from 1 species